rnacentral:rRNA from 1 species
UAGGGAAUCUUCCACAAUGGGCGCAAGCCUGAUGUAGCAACACCGCGUGAGUGAAGAAGGGUUUCGGCUCGUAAAGCUCUGUUGUUAAAGAAGAACACGUAUGAGAGUAACUGUUCAUACGUUGACGGUAUUUAACCAGAAAGUCACGGCUAACUACGUGCCAG